rnacentral:rRNA from 1 species
UACGUAGGGUGCGAGCGUUAAUCGGAAUUACUGGGCGUAAAGCGUGCGCAGGCGGUUUGGUAAGACAGAUGUGAAAUCCCCGGGCUCAACCUGGGAACUGCAUUUGUGACUGCAUCGCUGGAGUACGGCAGAGGGGGGAUGGAAUUCCGCGUGUAGCAGUGAAAUGCGUAGAUAUGCGGAGGAACACCGAUGGCGAAGGCAAUCCCCUGGGCCUGUACUGACGCUCAUGCACGAAAGCGUGGGGAGC